rnacentral:miRNA from 1 species
GUACGCCGUAGCAGAGUCGCU